rnacentral:rRNA from 1 species
CCUACGGGAGGCAGCAGUGAGGAAUAUUGGUCAAUGGACGGAAGCCUGAACCAGCCAAGUAGCGUGCAGGAUGAAGGCCCUACGGGUUGUAAACUGCUUUUGUACGGGGAUAAAACCAGCCACGUGUGCCGGUCUGAAGGUACCGUACGAAUAAGGAUCGGCUAACUCCGUGCCAGCAGCCGCGGUAAUACGGAGGAUCCGAGCGUUAUCCGGAUUUAUUGGGGUUAAAGGGGGCGUAGGCGGGCCGUUAAGUCAGGGGUGAAAGCUCGGGGCUCAACCGCAGCACUGCAGUUGAUACUGGACGGCUUGAGUUCAGUAGAGGUAGGCGGAAUUCGUGGUGUAGCGGUGAAAUGCAUAGAUAUCA